AGCUUUGCGCAGUGGCAGUAUCGUAGCCAAUGAGGUUUAUCCGAGGCGCGAUUAUUGCUAAUUGAAAACAAAGCUAAAAUAUCCAGAUAAGUCAUAUACAACUAAGAAUAUAAUGUAGGUUAUUACACUACAAUAGUA